UACGGAGGGUGCGAGCGUUAAUCGGAAUUACUGGGCGUAAAGCGCACGCAGGCGGUUUGUUAAGCUAGAUGUGAAAGCCCCGGGCUCAACCUGGGAUGGUCAUUUAGAACUGGCAGACUAGAGUCUUGGAGAGAGGAGUGGAAUUCCAGGUGUAGCGGUGAAAUGCGUAGAUAUCUGGAGGAACAUCAGUGGCGAAGGCGACUCCCUGGCCAAAGACUGACGCUCAUGUGCGAAAGUGUGGGUAGCGAACAGG
rnacentral:rRNA from 1 species